UGCAUAUGCACGGACUAAUAACAAGGUGAUUAUUGGCCCAGCUACUGUUGGGGGUAUUCAAGCGGGAGCCUUUAAGAUAGGUGACACUGCUGGAACGAUUGACAAUAUAGUUCAGUGCAAGCUUUACAGACCUGGAUCUGUUGGAUUUGUGUCCAAAUCGGGAGGCAUGUCUAAUGAGAUGUACAACACAAUUGCACGUGUGACAGAUGGAAUUUAUGAAGGCAUUGCAAUUGGUGGGGAUGUUUUUCCAGGCUCUACUCUAUCUGAUCAUAUUUUGCGAUUUAACAACAUCCCACAGGUCAAAAUGAUGGUUGUGCUGGGGGAACUUGGUGGCCAGGAUGAGUAUUCUUUAGUUGAAGCCCUAAA
rnacentral:misc_RNA from 1 species